UACGUAGGGUGCGAGCGUUGUCCGGAAUUAUUGGGCGUAAAGGGCUCGUAGGCGGUUUGUUGCGUCGGCUGUGAAAUCCCGAGGCUCAACCUCGGGUCUGCAGUCGAUACGAGCAAACUAGAGUGUUGCAGGGGAGACUGGAAUUCCUGGUGUAGCGGUGAAAUGCGCAGAUAUCAGGAGGAACACCGGUGGCGAAGGCGGGUCUCUGGGCCGAUACUGACGCUGAGGAGCGAAAGCGUGGGGAGCGAACAGG
rnacentral:rRNA from 1 species